AGCGAACGCUGGCGGCAGGCCUAACACAUGCAAGUCGAACGAAGUCUUCGGACUUAGUGGCGGACGGGUGAGUAACACGUGGGAACGUGCCUUUAAGUUCGGAAUAACUCAGGGAAACUUGUGCUAAUACCGAAUGUGCCCUUCGGGGGAAAGAUUGAUCGCCUUUAGAGCGGCCCGCGUCUGAUUAGCUAGUUGGUGAGGUAAAGGCUCACUAAGGCUACGAUCAGUAGCUGGGCUGAGAGGAUUACCAGCCACAUUGGGACUGAGACACGGCCCAAACUCCUACGGGAGGCAGCAGUAGGGAAUCUUGCGCAAUGGGCGAAAGCCUAACGCAGCCAUGCCGCGUGGAUGAUGAAUGUCUUAGGAUUGUAAAAUCCUUUCACCGGUGAAGAUAAUGACUGUAGCCGGAGAAGAAGCCCCGGCUAACUUCGUGCCAGCCGCCGCCGCGGUAA
rnacentral:rRNA from 1 species